AGGUGUGCUCUCUGCUUAAAGAGGUUCUCAGCUGCUCGGACACCCCCAUAGUGGAGACCAUUUUCGAUCGACAUGAUGGUCUACAGACUGGAAUUUGCCAUUAAAGUCUAGGCCUUCCAGGAAGGAACUGGCCUCUGCUGAGCUGAACCGUUUCCUGCUCUUCAACCAACUCCACGCCCAGCUUAUGAGGGCUCACAAAAGGCUGUCCCAUGUUCUGGACAAUGACAUGGCUGCUGUUUGCAGACCAGAGCAGCAUUCUCUCUGAGGAAACUGCUCCCCCUCCUUUCUCACUAGGCAUGUGUUAUACUCCAUGUUCCUCAUCAAAUAAA